GCAGGGAUUGAACCCCAGUUGGGAGGCAGACAGGUGGGGGAGGCAGGGAUUAAAUCCCAGUCUCCAGUAGGGAGCAGGGAUUUAACUCAAGUGGGAAGGCAGAUGGGUGAUAGCAGGGAUUUAACUUGAGUGGGAAGGCAGAAAGGUGAUAGCAGGGAUUGGACUCCAGUGUGUAGGCAGAAAGGUGAUAGCAGGGAUUGGACUCCAGUGGGGAGGCAGAAAGGUGAUAGCAGGGAUUGGACUCCAGUGUGUAGGCAGAAAGGUGAUAGCAGGGAUUGGACUCCAGUGUGUAGGCAGAAAGGUGAUAGCAGGGAUUGGACUCCAGUGUGUAGGCAGAAAGGUGAUAGCAGGGAUUGGACUCCAGUGUGUAGGCAGAAAGGUGAUAGCAGGGAUUGGACUCCAGUGGGAGGCAGAAAGGUGAUAGCAGGGAUUGGACUCCAGUGUGUAGGCAGAAAGGUGAUAGCAGGGAUUGGACUCCAGUGGGGAGGCAGAAAGGUGAUAGCAGGGAUUGGACUCCAGUGGGGAGGCAGAAAGGUGAUAGCAGGGAUUGGACUCCAGUGUGUAGGCAGAAAGGUGAUAGCAGGGAUUUAACUCAAGUGGGGAGGCAGACAGGUGUUUGCAAAGGUGUGAUCAUAACAGCAUACAGGAACUCAAGUCCUUUUGUUCACCUGACCUA